GACGAACGCUGGCGGCGUGCUUAACACAUGCAAGUCGAGCGGUAAGGCUCCUUCGGGAGUACACGAGCGGCGAACGGGUGAGUAACACGUGAGCAAUCUGCCCUUCACUUUGGGAUAACUUCCGGAAACGGAAGCUAAUACCGAAUACGACCAUUACAGACAUCUGUUGAUGGUGGAAAGUUCCGGCGGUGAAGGAUGAGCUCGCGGCCUAUCAGCUUGUUGGUGGGGAACGGCCCACCAAGGCGACGACGGGUAGCCGGCCUGAGAGGGUGACCGGCCACACUGGGACUGAGACACGGCCCAGACUCCUACGGGAGGCAGCAGUGGGGAAUAUUGGACAAUGGGCGAAAGCCUGAUCCAG
rnacentral:rRNA from 1 species